CCUGGCGGCGAUAGCGCGGUGGUCCCACCUGACCCCAUGCCGAACUCAGCAGUGAAACGCCGUAGCGCCGAUGGUAGUGUGGGGUCUCCCCAUGCGAGAG
rnacentral:rRNA from 1 species